UAGGCUGUACACAUUUAAAUUUGAACGAUGUAACUUCUUGAUAAAGUAAAGACAGCAUUUUUAAAUUAAAAAAAGUUAGUUUUAAAACAAUUUAGAGCAAACUUCAGGACCAUUUCAUAUAAAUUUAAAUAUUAUCUGAUUUGGAUUAUAUUCUCUCUCAUGACAGAUAAGAUGAUAAGAAAGUCCUCAUAAAUGUAUAUAAAAUGUUAUUUUAUACCUAUGUGACUUGAAAUGCUAAGAAG